AGAGUUUGAUCAUGGCUCAGAAUCAACGCUGGCGGCGUGCCUAACACAUGCAAGUCGAGCGAGAAAAGGGGGGCAACUCCCUGAGUAAAGCGGCGCACGGGUGAGUAACACGUGGGUAAUCUGCCCUGGAGUGGGGAAUAACACCGGGAAACCGGUGCUAAUACCGCAUACGAUAACGGAGUCCGCGGACAUCGUUAUGAAAGGAGCAAUUCGCUCUAGGAGGAGCCCGCGGCUGAUUAGCUAGUUGGUGAGGUAACGGCUCACCAAGGCUUCGAUCAGUAUCCGGUCUGAGAGGACGGUCGGACACACUGGAACUGAGACACGGUCCAGACUCCUACGGGAGGCAGCAGUGGGGGAAUUUUUCGCNGGGGGCAACCCUGACGAAGCAACGCCGCGUGGGGUGAUGAAGUAUCUCGGUACGUAAAACCCUUUCGACGGGGAAAGAGAACCGCAAGGUUUGACGGUACCCCGUAGAAGAAGCCCCGGCUAACUCCGUGCCAGCAGCCGCGGUAAUACGGGGGGGGCAAGCGUUGUUCGGAAUUACUGGGCGUAAAGGGUGCGUAGGCGGUCCGCUAAGUUAGAUGUGAAAACUCUGGGCUUAACCCAGAGCCUGCAUCUAAUACUGACGGGCUAGAGUUCUGGAGGGGAUAGCGGAAUUCCUGGUGUAGCGGUGAAAUGCGUAGAUAUCAGGAGGAACACCGGUGGCGAAGGCGGCUAUCUGGACAGAGUCUGACGCUGAGGCACGAAAGCUAGGGGAGCAAACAGGAUUAGAUACCCUAGUAGUCC
rnacentral:rRNA from 1 species